rnacentral:tRNA from 1 species
AAGACUUUAAGUUAAUAAAACUAAUAACCUUCAAAGUUUUCAUUGAGCUAACCUCAAGUCUUG